CGUGAGUAAUUCUUUCUUGUUAUGCUCUUGCCUUGUUUGUUUUGGAACCAUAAUAAUACGAGUUGUCUCUGCGGUGGCUUCGCAUGCCCAGCUCCGUUCCUGUGAUUACUACAAUAGCAGAGAAAAGUAACAAGGGUCAGAACAGAGCCCAACCAGAGUGAAACAUGCCAAUCACAACAUGCUCAUUUGCAGCCAACUCUGAUUUUGUUUGUUCAUCUAAUUGCAGCAGAGUGCAGACAUUUUCUGCGACCAGGCUCGCUUGAUUUGCUGCAAGAAAAUUAAUCAGCCCCACCCAUCAACUGAACAGCUGAUACUGCUGGGUACUUCAACUUCAGAGUUCAGAGAGCAGGCAGAAGGAACCAUCCCAGAAUGGGCAAGACGAGCCGGAGACGGGCUACGCAGAUCCAAGAGAACAAUGUAGGCUGCACUUGGGGCCUCAUCCGCAUGUUCUACUCCCGCCGCGACCCCAAGCUCAUCCUCGACAGAAAGCAAGGGAGCAGAAGGCACUCCUUCAGUGGAUUCGCUGGUACUUCCCUUGGUUUACAAACAACAGUUGUAUUAAUUGUGUCAAUACUACCAUCUUCAGUUCUUAUAAUCCAUGGUGUCCGUCCUUCGCUUCACACUUCUCUAUGCUACAAACUAGCAACAAAUCCAACUACAUUUAACUGGGAAAUACCAAGGCAUUCGGGAAAUGCAUCAAUCAGGCAGGCUGUAAAUUCUGUUAUUGGGAUUAAUUUGUACUGCUGCUAAUGCACCCUGCAUGGUUGCAGGAAGAGGGCACUCCAGAAACAAGUCCACAGACUUUGAGGAACCAGAUGAAGGCGGAGAUGUAAGUUCUCUACAGCAAUUAGCAAAUGGAAACGAUGCGGUUUCAAGAGUGAAAAAAGAGAUAUAUUAUUACUUUUCUUACUGUAGAUAGCAUAGUGCUUUCGUUGACACCACCACUCCACAAAGAUGCAGCAGAUGCAAGCAAGUUACUUGCAUAACAAAGUUGCUGUGACUUGUCGAAUUGAAAGUGUCAACUUGGUUUUAAUAGCAGCCAGCAAGUCUUCAAGGCAAAGUGUAGUUUAAUAUAAGUUGAGUAACAAUAAACAUAGAAAAAGCAGUUCUGAUAUGUCAACAAGCAUAGCUUGCUAUGCAUGGACUUGUAUUGAAGAACCAUCAUUCAGCCCCCCUUUGAUGCAAUACAGACCCUGUUCAAGCUUUGCUUGUGUCGUUUGUGCCGAAACUGAAUUUGUUGACCUUCUGAAAACCUAAGUGCAUUACUUACAACCUAUUCGGUUGCAAGUUACUGUCUCCAACUCCAAACCGAAACAAGAUACUCCCUCCUUCCCAAAAUAUAAGGCGCGAUUGACUUUUUACGGUCUUUGAUGCACAACUUUGACCACUAAUAUAUAUCAAAGUAUAUGGAUUGAACAUGUAUAAAUGACAUCGCUGUAUUUGUCUUGCAAAGCAAUUUUAUUUCAUAUGUAUGUAUAAUAAUUUUAUAGACAUAUAAUACAUAAAAAAUAUAGUCAAAGUUGUGCAACGAAGACCAGAAAAGUCAAACCGUGCCUUAUAUUUUGGGAAGGAGGGAGUAAUUUUUUUUAUUUACUUCCAAGUGCAUGCUAACAUAACAAAAUAAGAUUUACUUGUUUCCUGGUAAGAACUCAUUUUUGGUCUUAUAUUUCUUAGAACAUGGAGGAACGCAGUACUACGAAGCCAACUGUUAAAAGACUUAUGGAGGGCGAGCUGGGAAAGCUAAAACAGUCCAAGAAGAUUCCAAAUGAUGAAGUUCGAAGAAUAUUGGCUGACCUGGGACAUGAUGUCUGUCUGGACAAAGGUGCAAUGCAAAACAGCAAACCAAAUGGCGUCGCAAGUCCCCACCCAGGCAUCGGCAUUGCUUCUUCCUCUGGAUCCUUUGAUCCCGGUGGUUCCAACUGCAUGAAACAGGCAGAAGAAGAUGGCCUUGAGCUUGCUUUGUCAGAUUUCAUGGGACAGGUCUAUAAGUACCACGAUGAAGGGCCACAUGAUGAUUGCAGGAAUACGAGUGAAUUAUACCCUGAAUUAGAGUCCAUUAUACAUACAAAGAUUAAUGAAUAUAACAAUCCUCCAUGUGACCUUGAUUAUCAGAAAACACCGGUGAGUGAGGAAAAGCAGCUUGUUGACAACAAAUAUAUUUGCAACAGACAUGUAGGGGCCAGGCUCGAGCCCAAGAAAAUGCUUGAAAAAACAAACGUUGUUGAACAUACAAAGGCUUCAAAUCAGCGUGAGUUGGCUAUCAAAACAAAGAAUAAAGAGAGCAGGAAUAUAUUUUUCUGGAAGAAAGAUAAAUCAAGCAGAACACAUGCACCUGAAGGAAGGUCUUCUCAGCCAGUUAACAAAAUAGUAAUACUGAAGCCAAAUCCAAGGGGAGGAUUUGAUCCUACAGAAGCAACUGCAUCGACAU
rnacentral:lncRNA from 1 species